GACGAACUGCCCAAACGUUGUUCGGAAUCACUGGGCUUAAAGGGCGCGUAGGCGGCGAAUCAAGUCAGGGGUGAAAUCCGGCAGCUCAACUGUCGAAGUGCCUUUGAUACUGAUUUGCUCGAGGGAGGUAGGGGUGCGCGGAACUUCUGGUGGAGCGGUGAAAUGCGUUGAUAUCAGAAGGAACGCCGAUGGCGAAGGCAGCCCCCUGGGUCAAGAUUGACGCUCAUGCACCGAAAGCG
rnacentral:rRNA from 1 species